rnacentral:rRNA from 1 species
AUGCAAGUCGAGCGCACCUUCGGGUGAGCGGCGGACGGGUUAGUAACGCGUGGGAACGUGCCCUUCUCUACGGAAUAGCCAUUGGAAACGAUGAGUAAUACCGUAUACGCCCUUCGGGGGAAAGAUUUAUCGGAGAAGGAUCGGCCCGCGUUAGAUUAGAUAGUUGGUGGGGUAACGGCCUACCAAGUCUACGAUCUAUAGCUGGUUUUAGAGGAUGAUCAGCAACACUGGGACUGAGACACGGCCCAGACUCCUACGGGAGGCAGCAGUGGGGAAUCUUAGACAAUGGGCGCAAGCCUGAUCUAGCCAUGCCGCGUGAGUGAUGAAGGCCUUAGGGUCGUAAAGCUCUUUCGCCAGGGAUGAUAAUGACAGUACCUGGUAAAGAAACCCCGGCUAACUCCGUGCCAGCAGCCGCGGUAAUACGGAGGGGGUUAGCGUUGUUCGGAAUUACUGGGCGUAAAGCGUACGUAGGCGGAUUAGAAAGUUAGGGGUGAAAUCCCGGGGCUCAACCCCGGAACUGCCUCUAAAACUACUAGUCUAGAGUUCGAGAGAGGUGAGUGGAACUCCGAGUGUAGAGGUGAAAUUCGUAGAUAUUCGGAAGAACACCAGUGGCGAAGGCGGCUCACUGGCUCGAUACUGACGCUGAGGUACGAAAGUGUGGGGAGCAAACAGGAUUAGAUACCCUGGUAGUCCACACCGUAAACGAUGAAUGCCAGUCGUCGGAUAGUAUACUAUUCGGUGACACACCUAACGGAUUAAGCAUUCCGCCUGGG